rfam:Human gut metagenome DNA, contig sequence: F2-W_018278.
UUACGAAGUGACUUAAAUAUCGUUAAAAUUAUGCCAUGAAACACAGAAGUGACCCUGACAUGGAAGGCAGGACAAGGCGUAAUGCGCCAUGGACGGAGCAUAAAAGCCGGUUUCGUCAAGCAUAGAAAACAUAAAAGCAUAAUUCUAACAAUUAAUCUUAAAACAAGUAAGA